GAUUAAGUUAUUAAGGGCGCACGGUGGAUGCCUUGGCACUAGAAGCCGAUGAAGGACGUUACUAACGACGAUAUGCUUUGGGGAGCUGUAAGUAAGCUUUGAUCCAGAGAUUUCCGAAUGGGGAAACCCAGCAUGAGUUAUGUCAUGUUAUCGAUAUGUGAAUACAUAGCAUAUCAGAAGGCACACCCGGAGAACUGAAACAUCUUAGUACCCGGAGGAAGAGAAAGAAAAUUCGAUUCCCUUAGUAGCGGCGAGCGAAACGGGAAGAGCCCAAACCAACAAGCUUGCUUGUUGGGGUUGUAGGACACUCUAUACGGAGUUACAAAGGACGACAUUAGACGAAUCAUCUGGAAAGAUGAAUCAAAGAAGGUAAUAAUCCUGUAGUCGAAAAUGUUGUCUCUCUUGAGUGGAUCCUGAGUACGACGGAGCACGUGAAAUUCCGUCGGAAUCUGGGAGGACCAUCUCCUAAGGCUAAAUACUCUCUAGUGACCGAUAGUGAACCAGUACCGUGAGGGAAAGGUGAAAAGCACCCCGGAAGGGGAGUGAAAUAGAACCUGAAACCGUGUGCUUACAAGUAGUCAGAGCCCGUUAAUGGGUGAUGGCGUGCCUUUUGUAGAAUGAACCGGCGAGUUACGAUUUGAUGCAAGGUUAAGCAGUAAAUGUGGAGCCGUAGCGAAAGCGAGUCUGAAUAGGGCGUUUAGUAUUUGGUCGUAGACCCGAAACCAGGUGAUCUACCCUUGGUCAGGUUGAAGUUCAGGUAACACUGAAUGGAGGACCGAACCGACUUACGUUGAAAAGUGAGCGGAUGAACUGAGGGUAGCGGAGAAAUUCCAAUCGAACCUGGAGAUAGCUGGUUCUCUCCGAAAUAGCUUUAGGGCUAGCCUCAAGUGAUGAUUAUUGGAGGUAGAGCACUGUUUGGACGAGGGGCCCCUCUCGGGUUACCGAAUUCAGACAAACUCCGAAUGCCAAUUAAUUUAACUUGGGAGUCAGAACAUGGGUGAUAAGGUCCGUGUUCGAAAGGGAAACAGCCCAGACCACCAGCUAAGGUCCCAAAAUAUAUGUUAAGUGGAAAAGGAUGUGGCGUUGCCCAGACAACUAGGAUGUUGGCUUAGAAGCAGCCAUCAUUUAAAGAGUGCGUAAUAGCUCACUAGUCGAGUGACACUGCGCCGAAAAUGUACCGGGGCUAAACAUAUUACCGAAGCUGUGGAUUGUCCUUUGGACAAUGGUAGGAGAGCGUUCUAAGGGCGUUGAAGCAUGAUCGUAAGGACAUGUGGAGCGCUUAGAAGUGAGAAUGCCGGUGUGAGUAGCGAAAGACGGGUGAGAAUCCCGUCCGCCGAUUGACUAAGGUUUCCAGAGGAAGGCUCGUCCGCUCUGGGUUAGUCGGGGCCUAAGCUGAGGCCGACAGGCGUAGGCGAUGGAUAACAGGUUGAUAUUCCUGUACCACCUAUAAUCGUUUUAAUCGAUGGGGGGACGCAGUAGGAUAGGCGAAGCGUGCGAUUGGAUUGCACGUCUAAGCAGUAAGGCUGAGUAUUAGGCAAAUCCGGUACUCAUUAAGGCUGAGCUGUGAUGGGGAGAAGACAUUGUGUCUUCGAGUCGUUGAUUUCACACUGCCGAGAAAAGCCUCUAGAUAGAAAAUAGGUGCCCGUACCGCAAACCGACACAGGUAGUCAAGAUGAGAAUUCUAAGGUGAGCGAGCGAACUCUCGUUAAGGAACUCGGCAAAAUGACCCCGUAACUUCGGGAGAAGGGGUGCUCUUUAGGGUUAACGCCCAGAAGAGCCGCAGUGAAUAGGCCCAAGCGACUGUUUAUCAAAAACACAGGUCUCUGCUAAACCGUAAGGUGAUGUAUAGGGGCUGACGCCUGCCCGGUGCUGGAAGGUUAAGAGGAGUGGUUAGCUUCUGCGAAGCUACGAAUCGAAGCCCCAGUAAACGGCGGCCGUAACUAUAACGGUCCUAAGGUAGCGAAAUUCCUUGUCGGGUAAGUUCCGACCCGCACGAAAGGCGUAACGAUUUGGGCACUGUCUCAACGAGAGACUCGGUGAAAUCAUAGUACCUGUGAAGAUGCAGGUUACCCGCGACAGGACGGAAAGACCCCGUGGAGCUUUACUGUAGCCUGAUAUUGAAAUUCGGCACAGCUUGUACAGGAUAGGUAGGAGCCUUUGAAACGUGAGCGCUAGCUUACGUGGAGGCGCUGGUGGGAUACUACCCUAGCUGUGUUGGCUUUCUAACCCGCACCACUUAUCGUGGUGGGAGACAGUGUCAGGCGGGCAGUUUGACUGGGGCGGUCGCCUCCUAAAAGGUAACGGAGGCGCUCAAAGGUUCCCUCAGAAUGGUUGGAAAUCAUUCAUAGAGUGUAAAGGCAUAAGGGAGCUUGACUGCGAGACCUACAAGUCGAGCAGGGUCGAAAGACGGACUUAGUGAUCCGGUGGUUCCGCAUGGAAGGGCCAUCGCUCAACGGAUAAAAGCUACCCCGGGGAUAACAGGCUUAUCUCCCCCAAGAGUUCACAUCGACGGGGAGGUUUGGCACCUCGAUGUCGGCUCAUCGCAUCCUGGGGCUGUAGUCGGUCCCAAGGGUUGGGCUGUUCGCCCAUUAAAGCGGUACGCGAGCUGGGUUCAGAACGUCGUGAGACAGUUCGGUCCCUAUCCGUCGUGGGCGUAGGAAAUUUGAGAGGAGCUGUCCUUAGUACGAGAGGACCGGGAUGGACAUACCUCUGGUGUACCAGUUGUCGUGCCAACGGCAUAGCUGGGUAGCUAUGUGUGGACGGGAUAAGUGCUGAAAGCAUCUAAGCAUGAAGCCCCCCUCAAGAUGAGAUUUCCCAACUUCGGUUAUAAGAUCCCUCAAAGAUGAUGAGGUUAAUAGGUUCGAGGUGGAAGCAUGGUGACAUGUGGAGCUGACGAAUACUAAUCGAUCGAAGACUUAAUCAA
rnacentral:rRNA from 1 species